GACAGAGGUGCCGAGCGUUAGGCGGAAUCACUGGGCUUAAAGCGUGUGUAGGCGGGUCCGUAAGUACCUUGUGAAAUCCCACGGCUCAACCGUGGAACUGCUGGGUAUACUGCGGGUCUUGAGCCACCUAGGGGCAAGCGGAACAAGCGGUGGAGCGGUGAAAUGCGUAGAUAUCAGGAAGAACACCCGUGGCUAAGGCGGUUCUCUGGGACGGUACUGACGCUGAGACGCGAAAGCGUGGGGAGCGAACAGG
rnacentral:rRNA from 1 species